CCACAAAGCCGAGUUCCUCUACUCCCCAAGCAGCCGAACAGAGUGGUCUCCAGAGCACUCCCCAUGGCGACGGGAGCUGCGGCGUCCCCGGUCGUUCAGACUGUGGUGCUGAGGGUGUCCAUCCACUGCCAUGGCUGCAAGAAGAAGGUCCGGAGGGUGCUCAAGAGCAUCGAAGGUGUGCAGAACGUGACGGUGGACGCCGCGCAGCACAAGGUGCCGGUGACGGCGGCAAGGAUGAUGCUGCGAAAGCGGCGGACAAGAAGCCGGAGGAGACGGACUUGGUGAAUUUUUCCUUCUUCUUUUUUGAAACUUUUCUGAAAUAGGGAUCGUAUGGAUUGUAUCGAUUUUGUAAAUGAUUUGUGGGAUCUAUAAAUUUUGUAUCGAUCGAUUCAGUAUUUGUGUUUGAUUCUUCGAAUGAUUUGUGGGAUCUGUAAAUUUUGUAUGAUGGAUUUAGUA